CCUACGGGAGGCAGCAGUGAGGAAUAUUGGUCAAUGGGCGAGAGCCUGAACCAGCCAAGUAGCGUGAAGGAUGACUGCCCUAUGGGUUGUAAACUUCUUUUAUAUGGGAAUAAAAUGGGGUAUGCAUACUCUUUUGUAUGUACCAUAUGAAUAAGGAUCGGCUAACUCCGUGCCAGCAGCCGCGGUAAUACGGAGGAUCCGAGCGUUAUCCGGAUUUUUUGGGUGUAAAGGGAGCGUAGGUGGGUUGUUAAGUCAGUUGUGAAAGUUUGCGGCUCAACCGUAAAAUUGCAGUUGAAACUGACAUUCUUGAGUACAGUAGAGGUAGGCGGAAUGCGUGGGGUAGCGGUGAAAUGCUUAGAUAUCACGAAGAACUCCGAUUGCGAAGGCAGCUCACUGGACUGCAACUGACGCUGAUGCUCGAAAGUGUGGGUAUCAAACAGGAUUAGAUACCCUUGUAGUC
rnacentral:rRNA from 1 species